rnacentral:tRNA from 1 species
GUGGUUAGCUCAGUUGGUAGAGUGCUCCACCUGUUACGGAUAGGUCCCGGGUUCAAUAUCCGGACCAGGCG